ACUAAUGUUUUGAUUGGUUAAAAAUGUAGGAUUAUGUCUAGUGAGGUUAGUUUUCUCUUCUCUCGUAUCUUCUCAACAUCAAACUCACCAUUUUCUCUGCUUCCUCUGCUCCAUCAUCUUCCAUCCAUGUCGAUUUCCACCAAAAUUCCUCAUCCUCUCCAUCACCCUAAUUCACCAUACCCCAAAUCCUCGAAAUCGUCUUUUUUAUACUCAAAACCCACUAAAUUAGCCUUCUUUAGAUCCAUUACCAUCGAAAGAAUUUCAACAAAAUCUGUUUCUGCAACCCCAGCAGCAGCAGGAGCUUCAGAAUCCUCUUCUUCAUCUCUCCAACCCAUUGAAGAGCUUCCACCGAAGCUUCAAGAAAUCGUCAAGCUUUUUCAAGCAGUUGAGCAACCAAAGGCUAAGUACGAGCAACUGUUGUUUUAUGGCAAGAAUUUAAAACCACUUGAUGCCCAGUACAAGACUAGUGAAAAUAAGGUUCAGGGUUGUGUUUCACAGGUUUGGGUUAGGGCGUAUUUUGAUUCUGAGAAAAAUGUUGUAUUUGAGGCUGAUUCUGAUUCGGUACUUACUAAAGGUCUUGCUGCUUUGUUAGUUCAGGGACUUUCUGGAAGACCUGUAGAAGAGAUUUUAAAAGUUUCCCCUGAUUUUGCUGUACUUUUGGGGUUGCAACAAAGCUUAACUCCUUCUAGGAAUAAUGGGUUUUUGAAUAUGUUGAAGUUAAUGCAGAAAAAAGCACUUCAAUUGUAUGUUGAAGCUGAGAAAGGUGCUAAUUUAGGGCAGAGUGAAGUAUCAAAUGCCUCGUCGACUGAGUCCCUUGGUGUUAAUGGUAAUGGAAAUGUGGAGUCUGUAGCCAGUCCUGAAGUUAAUGAAAACAAUGUUGCUGUUGGUGCUAGUGAUGAUGGUGUUUUGAGGAGUAGAGGGAUGAGAAUCAAGGAGAAACUGGAGAAGGAACUUAGGCCUGUUGAACUAGAAGUUGAAGAUAUAUCUUAUCAGCACGCAGGACACGCGGGGAUUAGAGGUAGUGAUGGAGAGACACACUUUAAUUUAAAAGUGGUGUCAGAGGAAUUUGAAGGUAAGAGUUUGGUUAAGAGGCAUAGGAUGAUUUAUGGUUUACUGCAAGAUGAGUUGCAGAAUGGACUACAUGCUUUAUCAAUUGUGGCCAAGACGCCGUCUGAAGUUGGUAGUAGUUGAAUUGCUGGCGUCAAGAGAGUGAAUAUGACUCCGAAAUGCUAGAGAAUACAAUAAACCCCUACCCUCUACUGGAUGUCAAUGUCGGGGCUCAACAACGAUGAGGAGGCAGCUCCUAACUUGUGGUAUCGUCGUGGGUUGCACUUAUGCUCAGACUCUAGGAAAGAAGACAACAACUGACAGGUAUUCGGGGAAUCCUCCUUAAUAGACGAAAUAUCCUAUUAUGUCAAUGCCAAUUGAAUCAAUGUUGUUAGUUGUGAAUUCGAACUUUUUGGUAUUUUCUGUUUCUUCGGAUAAUAUGAUGGGUCAAUCAUUUGCUUCAUUGGUUCCAACGGUGGCAGCUGCGGAAUCUGCUAUUGGGUUAGCUAUUUUCGUUAUUACUUUCCAAGUCCGAGGGACUAUUGCUGUAGAAUCUAUUAAUAGCAUUCAAGGUUAAAGAUGACUCCUAGAGAGUUACCAAAAUACGAAGUUCUCUUCUCCUUUCUUUCUCUUCUUUCUUUU